rnacentral:rRNA from 1 species
UACGAAGGGGGCUAGCGUUGCUCGGAAUUACUGGGCGUAAAGGGAGCGUAGGCGGAUAGUUUAGUCAGAGGUGAAAUCCCGGGGCUCAACCUCGGAACUGCCUUUGAUACUGGCUAUCUUGAGUAUGGGAGAGGUGUGUGGAACUCCGAGUGUAGAGGUGAAAUUCGUAGAUAUUCGGAAGAACACCAGUGGCGAAGGCGACUUACUGGAAACAUAUUGACGCUGAGGUGCGAAAGCGUGGGGAGCAAACAGG